GCAGAAUCGGCUGUAGUGUGUGGUUUGAAUUUCGUCAGCAUUAUGGCCGUCAUUAUAACGUUGUGUUGUUUUUGGCAGCCAGACCGCACGCAUCCGUCAUAAAAUGACAUGCAUUUAUUGGUGAGUGAAGUUAAUGUUUUAUUUACUUAACAGGUAUUUUGGCUAGCUAUUGCUGUAGCUGGUACUAGUCUGUACAUAUUUUACAUAGGCUAGUCUAACCAUAGCUCACUGACUUAUAUGCUACUCUUCGUGUGAUAAUCAGGAGGACACUAGUUAUUUUAACGUCCCUAUUGAACGAUUGAAUUAUACGUAAUUUGAGUUAAAUGUGUAGCGUACAAAAUAUUAAAACUUGGUCGAGCUCCGUUAACGUUAGUGCGCUCGUUUGUCGCCGGGUAAGGGCCCAGAACCACGUGGGUUUAUACUUUGGUGACCUAGUAACUGAGUAGUUGCAUACAACUACACGUAAUACCACUAUAACCAUUGCUGGUCUUUCAAUGAUGAUAACUUUGUCCAGUUCUGCUACUGAAUAAUAGUGAACGAUAUUUGUGACUCUGAGAAAGACCUUGGUUUUACCACGAUAAUAUAGUCUGUUAAAUUAGCCUACCGUGGCGCUGGCGUACACUAACUAGUACGCUAGAUACACUAACUAGUUGGCUUGGAUGUUUCCUUUGAACCAAUCAUUGAUUGAAUGCGCGAAAUAUGGUGACCAAAUCGAAGCAUGGCAGAGUUUAAACGCCAAUGUUAAGAGAGAACCUUAAUCUCAAAAGUAGUUUUCUCCCUCUGAAUGCGAAUUUGGCGUGUUUAAAUCUUUUGCAUCCUGUUUGGUGUAGUCUUGUUUCUUAUUCUGUUGCUUCUGUGCUUAAACCAGCCCUUUUGUCUAACUAGUGUUUUGUUCCAGGUAUUUUGAUGGUGUCAUGAAGCUGGCUUUUCUUCUGAAUACUGGUCGGCCAGAGGAUGCUACUGAACUUUGUACUGCGUUGAGGGCAUGUCACAUCAAGUGGUGUCUGGGCUAGGUGAGUGUGGCAGUGUUAAUUGGCUGUCAGUGGUUAAACUGAGUUGUGAGAAAUGGUUAUAAAAGCAUGUUGUAAUUGAGCCCACCAGUCCAUGGACCAGAGUUAGUGAUGAGACAAAACUAAAUAACUUUUCUGACACCUCAUAUGAGGGCUGGCAACAGCCCCUGAUUCUAACUCUACUCUGAAGCUCUGAAUGGGACUGUUAUGUCUUAUUUUCUGGGAGGUUUGUGUGCUGUCAAUUGGUUCAAAUUGCAGUUUAUUCAAGAAAUUAGGCAUUGUGUAAUUUGCCUGCCAUGCCAAGGCCUGUACUUGUCACAAACACUUUUUUUUUUUUUUUAAUACUAGAAACUAGUUGGUGCGAUUGCCUUGGCAACAAAGCACAUGGGAUGUUUCUUUGGGCAGUAUUUGCCAGGUGCUCUGUGUUAAAUCUGUUCUCUUCUGCCAGGUUCUCAUGUGACCUGAGCCUACCACAGGACUCCUCCCACUCACUGCCCUCAGGUUUGUUGAGGAUUUCAGUGAAGAGAAGAUGAAGUCUCUGAGACUGAUUCACCCAGAGUGGUGACUUCAUCAGGCUGCAUGUCCAUGACCAGACUGGUUGAUGGUUGCAGGGAGAUGGCCUCACCGUUAGCACUGCAGAUUCUUGCCUGCUCCCUAAACAUCAGGUGUCCAGUGUCGUACUUUUCCUUACAUUCUAUUCAACACGAAAGGACUUCACUUAAUUGACAUCAGCUGUAUGGUUUCUCCAGUGUGAAUCAUCUGAUAAAAAGAUUUUCCAUCGAGUGGUUCCUUUUUAAUUUGCUGUUGUAACUUUUACCACUUAUAGUUCUCAUCCCCAAUGCCACUCAUUUAAGCUGGUUCCAUUAAACAUGGCCAUUACUUAAAUUAUAUCCAGAGGUCCCCAGGUCUCAAUUCCAAUUGAGCUCAUUUAGAUUGUGGAGGAACGGGAGGUCUGCAACAAAUGUGUAAAUCUUCAAGAAACUGUGAUUCAUUGUGUUAGCUUGGGCUAAAAUCUAUACACGUUUCCACCUUGUUACUCCUGUUCAUUCAGGUCUAAACUGGUGGAUUUUUAUGCAGGCAUGUUCAGAUUUUUACUUAAUUCCAUUUCGAUUUGUCCAAUUUCCCACUAACCUUCCCUGACAGUGCAGCUGGUGGCAGCAGUAAGGCCUCUCUCCUGUGUGAACUCUCUGAUUUAUGGUUAUGCUUUUAGUUCUGGUAUCAUGCACAGCCUUAAUGUGUCACGGUUGUAUUCUCAUCACCUCUCCCUGGCAACAGGGACCUAAUGGUUCUACUUCACUUGUGAUUUUGAAAGUUCAAUAAAGUUGAGUCAAUUUUCUCAUUUGAUCUUAUUCUGUAAUGAAAUACUAAACGUGUGAAUUAAAAUCUUCCAAUGUC
ensembl:lncRNA